AGCCAUGGUGAAGACACUGAUUUAACAGAACUUUGAAUCUUUCCCAGACUUGAUAGAACGUUUCAUUUUCUUUUUGAGAAAAUAUGGAAAUCUGUUGUUUUAGGCU